UAUCUAAUUCACAGAGUCGGAGAAAUAAAAUGAUGAAUAAUCAGUCAAGUGUUAGAGGAGCAGUUGUCAAAUAUUUCUAAAUGGAUUUUGUUUUUGUACCCUCUGUGUAGGAGCAUUUCAUCUAUAUAAUGUUACUCUGGCUUGCAGCCUUUUCCGGGUAUUCUUGAAUUCCCUAUCCCAGUCUCUUUUCAUGGUGAUCCUAAACAAUUAUCAGUAUGGACAAGUGCUUGGCCCCGGCUUUUAUCAUACAGCUCAAGUUGUUCGGGACUCUUACAGAAUAAUUAUUGCAAAAUAAUUAAGUCAAACCUCUUGUAUUUGCUGUUGUCUAGAUAGUUGCUCGUUUGAACUCGCUGGAUCGUGAAAUCACAAAUGAUGACUCAAGAUGCACAGCUGAUGCGAGACGAAUGAAAGAUGAGUUGGAGAAAAAGAACAAUGAUUUGAGUUCCGUUGAAAAGGAGGCAGACAAAUUUUUGAAGAAUUCGGAGAAGAGGCUCCAAGAUGCAAUACUCAAAGAUGAUGAAGAAACUCAGGCAGCUGCGAGAGAGCUGCUGCAACUUAUUGAUUCCAUUGCUGAGCAUAAAGAGUUCAUGGAAGCAACAAUUGCUCAGAGGAAGGAACUGUAUGAAACUGCAGAUUAUAUAGCCUCUUUGUCAUCCAAGACAUCAUCAACCAAUCCUCAUACCUAAAUGAUUAGAAAGUCUCAUGAUAAAUUGCUGAUUCCCCUGCGCUUCCUUGAGGUCUUGAGAUUAUCGCUAUAGCCUAUGUUAAGUUCAUUUCACCUGAAGGAGCUAAGUACCUAAAUGUUUAGUUGUCACUAUUACUUGGUCCUUGCUGUGGCUGCAUAUAUCGUUUUAGUCUCC